UGCAGUCGAGCGGACAGAAGGGAGCUUGCUCCCGGAUGUUAGCGGCGGACGGGUGAGUAACACGUGGGUAACCUGCCUGUAAGACUGGGAUAACUCCGGGAAACCGGAGCUAAUACCGGAUAGUUCCUUGAACCGCAUGGKUCAAGGAUGAAAGACGGUUUCGGCUGUCACUUACAGAUGGACCCGCGGCGCAUUAGCUAGUUGGUGAGGUAACGGCUCACCAAGGCGACGAUGCGUAGCCGACCUGAGAGGGUGAUCGGCCACACUGGGACUGAGACACGGCCCAGACUCCUACGGGAGGCAGCAGUAGGGAAUCUUCCGCAAUGGACGAAAGUCUGACGGAGCAACGCCGCGUGAGUGAUGAAGGUUUUCGGAUCGUAAAGCUCUGUUGUUAGGGAAGAACAAGUGCAAGAGUAACUGCUUGCACCUUGACGGUACCUAACCAGAAAGCCACGGCUAACUACGUGCCAGCAGCCGCGGUAAUACGUAGGUGGCAAGCGUUGUCCGGAAUUAUUGGGCGUAAAGGGCUCGCAGGCGGUUUCUUAAGUCUGAUGUGAAAGCCCCCGGCUCAACCGGGGAGGGUCAUUGGAAACUGGGAAACUUGAGUGCAGAAGAGGAGAGUGGAAUUCCACGUGUAGCGGUGAAAUGCGUAGAGAUGUGGAGGAACACCAGUGGCGAAGGCGACUCUCUGGUCUGUAACUGACGCUGAGGAGCGAAAGCGUGGGGAGCGAACAGGAUUAGAUACCCUGGUAGUCCACGCCGUAAACGAUGAGUGCUAAGUGUUAGGGGGUUUCCGCCCCUUAGUGCUGCAGCUAACGCAUUAAGCACUCCGCCUGGGGAGUACGGUCGCAAGACUGAAACUCAAAGGAAUUGACGGGGGCCCGCACAAGCGGUGGAGCAUGUGGUUUAAUUCG
rnacentral:rRNA from 1 species